AUGUUCUGGCGCAUGACCGGUCUCUCCGCGGCCUCGCCCGUGGAUACAAUCCUAGACAAGGAAAAUUUUACACUUGAAGAACUUCUUGAUGAGGAUGAAAUUAUUCAAGAGUGCAAAGCACUGAACACCCGACUCAUAAAUUUCCUGCGUGACAAGGCCCAGGUGGAACAAUUGCUUCGUUAUGUUGUUGAAGAAGUUCCGGAUGACGCUGAAAAAAAGCGCUCUUUCAAGUUCCCUUUCAUUGCUUGUGAGAUAUUUACUUGUGAAAUCGAUGUCAUUUUGAGGACCCUAGUAGAAGAUGAAGAGUUAAUGGAUUUGCUUUUCUCAUUUGUGAAACCUGAUCAUCCACACAGCACAUUAUUAUCUGGUUACUUCAGUAAGGUGGUAAUUUGUUUGAUGCUGCGGAAGACUGCCCCACUAAUGAAUUAUGUUCAGGAGCAUCCAGAGAUUGUUGUCCAACUUGUUGACCUGAUUGGCAUCACAUCUGUAAUGGAGGUGCUGAUACGCCUGAUUGGUGCUGAUGAGACCAUAUAUUCAAACUAUGCUGAUACAAUGCAGUGGUUAGAAAAUACAGAUGUUCUUGGAAUGAUCGCAGAUAAAUUUAGCUCAUCGGACUCUCCUGAAGUGCAUGCCAAUGCUGCCGAAAUUCUUUGUGCUGUGACUCGAUGUGCACCUCCAUCUCUCGCUUCAAAGAUAUGCAGUCCAAGUUUUGUUGGGAGGUUGUUCUGCCAUGCUCUUGAAGGAUCAAGACCCAAGUCUGUGCUGGUUCAUUCAUUGUCAGUGUGCAUAUCUUUACUGGACCCAAAAAGAUUGGCAUCAGCUUCCUAUCAAGCAUUCAGAAGCAACGUAAGCCAUGGGGCAUUGGUCACUGCCAGUCCUGAGACAGUUGAUGGUAUGCUCGAGAGUCUAGGUAAUUUGCUGAACUUAUUGGACACCUCUGCUGCUGAAAAUGUUUUGCCUACAACUUAUGGAUGUUUACGCCCACCUCUGGGGAAGCAUCGACUGAAGAUUGUGGAGUUCAUCUCUGUUUUGCUGACAGUUGGCAGUGAAACUGCUGAACAGGAGCUAAUCAGCCAAUCGGCAAUAAAGCGCUCCAUUGACUUAUUCUUUGAGUACCCUUAUAACAACUUUUUGCACCAUCAUGUCGAGAAUAUAAUUGUUUCUUGCCUGGAGGGUAAAAGAACAGAACUUGUCGAACAUGUUCUUAAUGAAUGUGACAUUGUUGGUAAAAUUCUUGCUGCCGACAAGCUUUCUUCUUUGGCAACAGAAUCUAAUGGGCCUACUGUGCCGUCUGAAGGGAAAACCCCUUCAAAAAUUGGGAAUGUUGGUCACAUGACAAGAAUAGCCAAUAAACUCAUUCAGUUGGGAAAUAGUAACAGCACAAUCCAGACUCACCUGCAGGGUAACAGUGAGUGGGUUGAAUGGCAGACAGAUGUUCUGGUCAGGCGAAAUGAGGUGGAGAAUGUUUAUCAUUGGGCUUGUGGACGCCCAACCUCGCUUCAUGACCGUGGUAGGGAUAGUGAUGAUGAUGACUUCCGAGACAGGGAUUAUGAUGUUGCAGCUCUGGCCAAUAACUUGAGCCAGGCAUUCCGCUAUGGGAUAUACAGCAAUGAUGACAUUGAAGAGGCACAAGGGUCACUUGAACGUGAUGAUGAGGAUGUCUAUUUUGAUGACGAAUCAGCUGAGGUUGUAAUAUCUUCCCUGCGUCUGGGAGAUGAUCCAGACGGCAGUUCCCUCUUUACAAAUUCGAAUUGGUUCACGUUUGAUGGAGAGAGAGGUAUCAAUGACCGUUUAGCUGCCUCUGUUCCUUCGUCCUCACCCAACUCUGAGGAGGCUUCCCCAGACACCAAGGAAGCUGAUGAUGGUGAAGCAAUUGGCACUGAGGAUCAAAUGGAAACUUUGGGUCUUGGAAAUGGUCCUGCUAAGGAGGCCGAAGAUGCUGCAGAAUGUACCAAACAGACAAAUUUGAGCACUGAGAAUGAGCAACUAGAAAGUGCAGAAGGUACUGAGCGGCAUCUGGAUGUUUCAUUUCAUGGUACUGAAGCUAGCACAGACGAAGCUGCCUCUGAAGCAGCUGAAUCUUCAGUCUCAGCUACUGAGACACAGGCAGAGAGAACAGUUGAUAAACCAGCUGGCUCAUCUGAUUUGGACAAUCCUAUCUCUGAAGCUUCACCCGAUCCUGAUGUCAAUGGGAGUGAUUUGGCUGGCUCGGCAUUAUCUUCUGAGCAAGCUGUCCGUAACGAAGAUGUGGAGGUACCGACCAAGACUGAUGCAGUCGUGGAUACUGAAAUGAAAACUGAUACAGUCGUGGAAACUGAUGCAGUCGGGGAUGUUGGAGUGAAAGCUGAUGCAGUCGUGGAGGUACCAAGCAAGGAAGUAUCUGCCGUGGAUGUUGAAGCUAAAACUGGCGCAGCAGAAGCAAAAGAGUGA
rnacentral:rRNA from 1 species